rnacentral:rRNA from 1 species
UACGUAGGGGGCAAGCGUUGUCCGGAAUCAUUGGGCGUAAAGAGCGUGUAGGCGGCCCGGUAAGUCCGCUGUGAAAGUCCAGGGCUCAACCCUGGAAUGCCGGUGGAAACUGUCGGGCUCGAGUACGGAAGAGGCGAGUGGAAUUCCUGGUGUAGCGGUGAAAUGCGCAGAUAUCAGGAGGAACACCAAUUGCGAAGGCAGCUCGCUGGGACGUAACUGACGCUGAGACGCGAAAGCGUGGGGAGCAAACAGG